GACGAACGCUGGCGGCGUGCUUAACACAUGCAAGUCGAACGGAAAGGCCCUGCUUUUGUGGGGUGCUCGAGUGGCGAACGGGUGAGUAACACGUGAGUAACCUGCCCUUGACUUUGGGAUAACUUCAGGAAACUGGGGCUAAUACCGGAUAGGAGCUCCUGCUGCAUGGUGGGGGUUGGAAAGUUUCGGCGGUUGGGGAUGGACUCGCGGCUUAUCAGCUUGUUGGUGGGGUAGUGGUUUACCAAGGCUUUGACGGGUAGCCGGCCUGAGAGGGUGACCGGCCACAUUGGGACUGAGAUACGGCCCAGACUCCUACGGGAGGCAGCAGUGGGGAAUAUUGCACAAUGGGCGGAAGCCUGAUGCAGCAACGCCGCGUGCGGGAUGACGGCCUUCGAGUUGUAAACCGCUUUCGCCUGUGACGAAGCGUGAGUGACGGUAAUGGGUAAAGAAGCACCGGCUAACUACGUG
rnacentral:rRNA from 1 species